UAGACGCUUUAUCAGCUGAAUAAUAAAACAAUCGAAUAUCAUUUUAUUUUGAUUCUAAAUUAACACGCAAUUCAUUUAAAUUAUAUUCAAAUUAGUUUGUUUUACUUCCUCAGCGAACAAGUGUAAUUCUCCUUACUUACAUACGCUCCAUUCCACAAAAAACCGCACGUUUCUUGAAAAAAAAAACAGAGAAAUAAUGUGUAACGUUCUAUUUUUGAGAAUUAUACUUAUACUAUAUACUACUACUCAUACUAUCCCAGCCUGGCCUUAAUAAGGGAAUUGAAUAUAUUACAGAUUAACUAGCUUUAGCCUAGAAUUAUAGGAUAGAACAGGGGCCUCGAAAAUGUUAAAUGAAAACAUUUUUCAAUAUUCGAAAACUCACACCUGUUUUUGAUGCACCAACGAUGAAAAUUUUUCAAGUCGAGGCGAAGCUUCUGAGCAUCCACUGAGUCCCUAACACAUGAGAAAAUUGUUAAAUCAUCCGCGAAGAGCAAGAAAUUCGAAAAAGUCGCAACGUGGCCUUCGUUUGAGCAUCGUAUUACUGUCGAUGAAUAGUGAAAGUUGUACACAUUUGAAAGAUUUUGUAAUGGAGUAAAUUGAACAAAACCAAAUGGAAUCAUCUUCGGAAGGUUAGUAAAAUACGAGAAAUCUUUAGUACAUAUCAAUACCUCGACACAAAAUUUUUAGCUGCAGCAAUACGUAAAUACAUUUUUUGCAAUUUUUUUUAUAAAAUUUGAGUUUUCAAACUGUAUAGUAAUACAACGCCGUCAUAUGCUGCUUUGAAACCUAUUAAAGGUUACUCAAAAAAGUAAUGGUUACUGAAUAAAACAAGAUUCAGCUGCUACCACUUGCUACCUUGCGACCCCGAAAACAUAUAAAUUAACAUGCAUCUUGAUUAUGUUUUAGAAUAUACGCUACUUCACGUGAGGGGGUGGCCAAUAGGGGUGGAGGGGGGUGGAUUUUCAAAAUUUUAAGAUCAAAUUCGUAAUCAGCGACCCCGACAACCCCCGAGUAAGAAAUUUUGAAUCAAUUACUUAAUUUUUUGAGUUUUGGCCAGCUUUUCGGGAAUCGGCCGCACUGUGCGUCGGGGCAUACUUUCAGCUAGUUUUUCUGCAUAUUCUACCGGAAAAGACCUCCAAAUUUUCCAAAUUUGUCGAGAACGUUGAUCUAAAUUACAUGGCUUGCGUCUGCGAAACUGCAUUUUCAUCAAAGCCCACACAUUUUCUGGGAUUUGCAUCCGGUGACUGACCAAUGGCCAAUCUAAAGUGACAACUCCGUUUUGCGCCUUCCACUCGCUACACGCUCGACUCCGAUGUUUCGGAUCGUUGUCCUCUUGAAGGAUCCAGCUUUCAUUUUUCUUGAUAUACCAUUGCUUAGCAGAUGGUUACAAAGCCUUUUGAUAAAUUUUUUUCAUUUUUCGGCAUUUAAAUUCUCGGUAAAUAAGA